rnacentral:rRNA from 1 species
GUGACAGCCGCCGCGGUAAUACGUAGGGUGCGAGCGUUAAUCGGAAUUACUGGGCGUAAAGCGUGCGCAGGCGGUUUUGUAAGACAGAUGUGAAAUCCCCGGGCUUAACCUGGCCAACUGCGUUUGUGACUGCAAGACUCGAGUACGGCAGAGGGGGGUGGAAUUCCACGUGUAGCAGUNAAAUGCGUAGAGAUGUGGAGGAAUACCAAUNGNGAAGGNAGACCCCUGGGUUAACACUGACGNUCAUGCACGAAAGCUNGGGAGCAAACA